AUUGAACGCUGGCGGAAUGCUUUACACAUGCAAGUCGAACGGCAGCACGGGGCAACCUGGUGGCGAGUGGCGAACGGGUGAGUAAUAUAUCGGAACGUGCCCAAUCGUGGGGGAUAACGUAGCGAAAGUUACGCUAAUACCGCAUACGAUCUACGGAUGAAAGCGGGGGAUCGCAAGACCUCGCGCGAAUGGAGCGGCCGAUAUCAGAUUAGGUAGUUGGUGGGGUAAAGGCUCACCAAGCCAACGAUCUGUAGCUGGUCUGAGAGGACGACCAGCCACACUGGAACUGAGACACGGUCCAGACUCCUACGGGAGGCAGCAGUGGGGAAUUUUGGACAAUGGGCGGAAGCCUGAUCCAGCCAUGCCGCGUGAGUGAAGAAGGCCU
rnacentral:rRNA from 1 species